AGCGAACGCUGGCGGCAGGCCUAACACAUGCAAGUCGAACGAAGUCUUCGGACUUAGUGGCGGACGGGUGAGUAACACGUGGGAACGUGCCUUUAGGUUCGGAAUAACUCAGGGAAACUUGUGCUAAUACCGAAUGUGCCCUUCGGGGGAAAGAUUUAUCGCCUUUAGAGCGGCCCGCGUCUGAUUAGCUAGUUGGUGAGGUAAAGGCUCACCAAGGCGACGAUCAGUAGAUGGUAUGAGAGGAUGAUCAGCCACAUUGGGACUGAGACAUGGCCCAAACUCCUACGGGAGGCAGCAGUGGUGAAUCUUGCGCAAUGGGCGAAAGCCUGACGCAGCCAUGCCGCGUGAAUGAUGAAGGUCUUAGGAUUGUAAAAUUCUUUCACCGGGGACGAUAAUGACGGUACCCGGAGAAGAAGCCCCGGCUAACUUCGUGCCAGCAGCCGCAGUAAAAC
rnacentral:rRNA from 1 species